UAAUGAUGUUGAUUAUGAUAUUACUAAAUACAUGUUGCAUACUUGUUUCUUUCAUUUUUACAUGUUAUUUACUACUGAUUAUUGACAUAAUGUUAAGCUGGUUAGGUUAACAAUAGAUAAUGUGCGUAAGCAUAGCCUCACCUAUAAGAUUUGAAAUGUAUUGAUAGUUUAUAAAUAAUUAAUUUGGAAUUUGUCCAUUACCCCUUACUACAAUAAUUAGAAAUCUAUGUAAUCAAGUAUAUAACUAUAUAUAUAUAUAUUUUUUUAUGAUGAGCAUAGGCACACAUAUUAAUGAAAACUGAAAAUGUACAAGAAAGUGUGGUGAUCUAAUAAAUUCCAUGUUUCAGGUGAGCGGGAUGAACCCAAUGUCAUCAGUGCAUGGAGAUCAAAAGGCCAACAAGGUGAGCGGAAUGAACCCAAUGUCAUCACUGCAUGGAGAGCAAGAGCCAACAAGGUAAUGUUUAAAUAAAUGUUACAGUAAGAGACACUGUGGAUAUAGCAAGAGAUGAAGGAAAAGGAAUGCUUUUUUAUGUGUUAUUUCUUAUUUUAGUUUUGUCAUUUAUUAAAUGGAAAUAGAGAUAUUGAAUGUACUUUUAUAGACAGUGGCUUCAGUUAUUAUUAAGGGAUUUAAAGGCCUCUUUUGUUUUAAGUACUACUUGUAUAUCAUGUUAUGAUAAAAAAAAAAUCUCAAAGCCAGUUUGGAUUAAUUCAUAUCUAUAUAACUAUCUAUUUAAACCAUUUGUAUAUCUAUUGGUUUCUUGCAUCCUGUGUGCUUAAUAUACAAUGCUAAACUAUUGUUUGUUUAAUCAGUAAAUAUAAUAUUUUGCUGUUUUCUUAGAACUGUAUACUUGACAAACAAACAUUUCCAUUACACUCUGUUUUACACUCUAUUAUGAAGGGAUGCAUGACAACUUUGUCAACCUUUUUUGUUAUGCAUUUGAUUUUCUGUGCACUUUGAAUUUGAUUGUUGUUUUAUAGUGCAUUCUAAACUCUUUGGAUCUUAUUAACUAGCUCCUUGACAUUUGUUAAUGUUAUUUGUUUAUAAAAAUAAAGAGAUAUGCCAAAAAAUUGUUUUAAUAUCAUUUAACUAUUCUGGUUAUCCUAUAUUUUACUCAUAAACCAUGUUUUAAGCACAAAGAAUGAAACGAUGGAAAAAGGAUAAUAUCUGUUGUAAAAGAGUAAUACAGAUUACAAUAUUCCUAAAUACAAAAUUCAUAAUAUAAUUGAAAAUCUUGGGGAUAUGUAAAUGAAAAGAGAGAGAAAGAGAGGAAAAAAGAAAAAAAAAGAAAAAAGAUCUGAAUCAAUAAAACCAAGGAUAUAAUUGAUUGUACAAGAUUAUUGCAAAAUACAGUGUUCCUAGCCAGUGUGCAUAAAGGGUUUACAAGUUUUACAGAUAUGUUGACAGAUAAUGAAAACAGGCCUGCAUGAAACAAGAGCACAAGUGCCAACAUUGCUUUAACUUACAAUGAUUAUUACAGAAUACAUUGAUUUAAAGAGAUUAUCACAGAAUACAAUGUUCAAAAUGGAUUGAACUCUUGAGGAUAUAUAUGUUAAAUGUAUUUUAGUUUUACUAUCUAUAUAUCUAUCUAUCUGUAUCUAUGUCUACACACACACCUAUGGAGAAAAAGAGAAGAAGAGCGGCAAAAAGAUGAGAAUUGUGUGUGUGUGUGUGUGUGUGUGUGAGUUUAUGUCUAUUUAUCUAUGAACCAUGGAUGACAUAACCAGUGAGAAUCAUCAGAGGAUAAUGUAAAAACUUAAUUCUUCCAUGAAAUACAAUUAUUACUGUACAAUAAUGCUUAGUGUAAAUAUCUACAAGAAAUGAUAAUUAUAAUGAUAAUAAUGAAAAUAAUGAUGAUGAUGAUGAUGGCGAUGAGAAAAAAAACUCCAUUGUAUAAGGCACAAAACAUGCAACCAUGUAUUGUAACUAUGCUUUCAAUGAGUUAUCAGCUUUCAUGAUGUGUCAUCUUUUUGUAUGUCUAUGAUGUUUAGAAAAAAACAAAAACAAAA
rnacentral:lncRNA from 1 species